GUGCGAAAGCACGACAAGGUUAAUCCGAGUGAUUUCUGCUAAAGAAAUCUUUUGCAAGUCAUAAAACCACUAGUGAAUAAGGGGUGGGCAAGUUCUGGUGUCAGCCGCCGCGGUAAAACCAGCACCUCAAGUGGUCAGGAGGAUUAUUGGGCCUAAAGCAUCCGUAGCCGGCUCUGUAAGUUUUCGGUUAAAUCCAUGUGCUCAACGCAUGGGCUGCCGAAAAUACUGCAUAGCUAGGGAGUGGGAGAGGUAGACGGUACUCGGUAGGAAGGGGUAAAAUCCUUUGAUCUAUCGAUGACCACCUGUGGCGAAGGCGGUCUACCAGAACACGUUCGACGGUGAGGGAUGAAAGCUGGGGGAGCAAACCGGAUUAGAUACCCGGGUAGUCCCAGCUGUAAACGAUGCAGACUCGAUGAUGCAUUGGCAUAUAGCCAGUGCAGUGUCGCAGGGAAGCCGUUAAGUCUGCCGCCUGGGAAGUACGUACGCAAGUAUGAAACUUAAAGGAAUUGGCGGGGGAGCACCACAAGGGGUGAAGCCUGCGGUUCAAUUGGAGUCAACGCCAGAAAUCUUACCCGGAGAGACAGCAGAAUGAAGGUCAAGCUGAAGACUUUAC
rnacentral:rRNA from 1 species